rnacentral:rRNA from 1 species
GAUUUGAUCAUGACUCAGAUUGAACGCUAGCGGGAUGCCUUACACAUGCAAGUCGAACGGCAGCACGGACUUCGGUCUGGUGGCGAGUGGCGAACGGGUGAGUAAUGUAUCGGAACGUGCCUAGUAGCGGGGGGAUAACUACGCGAAAGCGUAGCUAAUACCGCAUACGCCCUACGGGGGAAAGCAGGGGAUCGCAAGACCUUGCACUAUUAGAGCGGCCGAUAUCGGAUUAGCUAGUUGGUGGGGUAACGGCUCACCAAGGCGACGAUCCGUAGCUGGUUUGAGAGGACGACCAGCCACACUGGGACUGAGACACGGCCCAGACUCCUACGGGAGGCAGCAGUGGGGAAUUUUGGACAAUGGGGGAAACCCUGAUCCAGCCAUCCCGCGUGUGCGAUGAAGGCCUCGG